GGGCCCGCACAAGCGGUGGAGUAUGUGGUUUAAUUCGAUGCAACGCGAAGAACCUUACCAGGGUUUGACAUCCUGCGAAUCUCUUGGAAACAGGAGAGUGCCUUCGGGAACGCAGUGACAGGUGGUGCAUGGCUGUCGUCAGCUCGUGUCGUGAGAUGUUGGGUUAAGUCCCGCAACGAGCGCAACCCACGUCUUUAGUUGCCAGCAUUUAGUUGGGCACUCUAAAGAAACUGCCCGUGAUAAGCGGGAGGAAGGUGUGGAUGACGUCAAGUCCUCAUGGCCCUUACGGGUUGGGCUACACACGUGCUACAAUGGUAGUGACAAUGGGU
rnacentral:rRNA from 1 species